rnacentral:rRNA from 1 species
UGGGGGAUAUUGCACAAUGGGCGAAAGCCUGAUGCAGCGACGCCGCGUGGGGGAUGAAGGCCUUCGGGUUGUAAACUUCUUUUGCUCUGAACAAGGCAUGCUGAUGGGUGUGUUGCGUGUAGGGGUUGAUUAGCGCCGGCUAACUACGUGCCAGCAGCCGCGGUAAUACGUAGGGCGCGAGCGUUGUCCGGAAUUAUUGGGCGUAAAGGGCUUGUAGGUGGCUGGUUGCGUCUGUCGUGAAAGCUCAUGGCUUAACUGUGGGUUUGCGGUGGGUACGGGCUGGCUUGAGUGCAGUAGGGGAGGCUGGAAUUCCUGGUGUAGCGGUGGAAUGCGCAGAUAUCAGGAGGAAUACCGGUGGCGAAGGCGGGUCUCUGGGCUGUUACUGACACUGAGGAGCGAAAGCAUGGGGAGCGAACAGG